AGAGUUUGAUCCUGGCUCAGGACGAACGCUGGCGGCGUGCCUAACACAUGCAAGUCUGACUGGAACGUCUCCUUCGGGAGACUACUACAGUGGCGGACGGGUGAGUAACGCGUGGGAAUCUACCCGGUAGUGGGGGAUAACCCUCCGAAAGGAGGGCUAAUACCGCAUAAGUCUUACGAGGUAAAGAUGGCCUCUUUACAAUGCUAUCGCUUCCGGAUGAGCCCGCGUCCUAUUAGCUAGUUGGUGAGGUAACGGCUUACCAAGGCAACGAUGGGUAGCCGGUCUGAGAGGAUGAACGGCCACACUGGGACUGAGACACGGCCCAGACUCCUACGGGAGGCAGCAGUGGGGAAUUUUGCGCAAUGGGGGAAACCCUGACGCAGCAACGCCGCGUGAACGAUGAAGGCCUUCGGGUCGUAAAGUUCUGUUCUGGGGGAAGAAACCACAAAAAGCCAAUACCUUUUUGUAUUGACGGUACCCCAGCAGAAAGCUCCGGCCAAUUAUGUGCCAGCAGCCGCGGUAAUACAUAAGGAGCAAGCGUUGUCCGGAAUUAUUGGGCGUAAAGAGCUCGUAGGCGGUACCGAAAGUCAGCUGUGAAACCACCAGGCUCAACCUGGUAGGGUCAGCUGAAACUUCGAUACUUGAGGGUAGAAGAGGAAAGCGGA
rnacentral:rRNA from 1 species